rnacentral:rRNA from 1 species
CACGUAGGGCGCAAGCGUUGUCCGGAAUUAUUGGGCGUAAAGAGCUCGUAGGCGGUCUGUUACGUCUGAUGUGAAAACCCUGGGCUUAACCCUGGGCUUGCAGUGGAUACUGGCAGACUAGAGGCAGGUAGGGGAGAAUGGAAUUCCCGGUGUAGCGGUGAAAUGCGCAGAUAUCGGGAGGAACACCGGUGGCGAAGGCGGUUCUCUGGGCCUGACCUGACGCUGAGGAGCGAAAGCUUGGGGAGCAAACAGG